rnacentral:rRNA from 1 species
GGUGAACGCUGGCGGCGUGCCUAAGACAUGCAAGUCGAGCGGGGCAGGUUUAUACCUGUUCAGCGGCGGACGGGUGAGUAACGCGUGGGUGACCUACCCGGAAGAGGCGGACAACCUGGGGAAACCCAGGCUAAUCCGCCAUGUGGUCCUGUCCUGUGGGGCAGGACUAAAGGGGCGACCCGCUUCCGGAUGGGCCCGCGUCCCAUCAGCUAGUUGGUGGGGUAAAGGCCCACCAAGGCGACGACGGGUAGCCGGUCUGAGAGGAUGGCCGGCCACAGGGGCACUGAGACACGGGCCCCAGUCCUACGGGAGGCAGCAGUUAGGAAUCUUCCGCAAUGGACGGAAGUCUGACGGAGCGACGCCGCUUGGAGGAGGAAGCCCUUCGGGGUGUAAACUCCUGAACUGGGGACGAAAGCCCCGUGUAGGGGGAUGACGGUACCCAGGUAAUAGCGCCGGCCAACUCCGUG